UGUGAUGCCAUCCCCUUCUCAUUCCACUGCUACCAUGGCCACCAAGCCGAAGGCCCAGCAGGACAGGAGUGCUGGAGCAAGGGGUAGAAAUGUUGAGGUUGCCCUCCCUUUUGGGACUGUUGAUGUUGCUGACAUCCUCUGCUGCGCCACCAGUGCCUCCUGUGGGCAGCCCCCUGUCUGAUGGUGAGUACCAGCUCUUCUUCUCCAGCCUGUGGCCAAUCUGGAAGGCCCAUGCAUCCUGCCACCUACGUCAGACCUUCGGCUGCCUCAGCCCUGCAGUCCUGCGGCUGGACCAGCAGGAGAACCAUGGCCAUGUCCCUGAAGGACCUGUCUGCUCUGCCUUCCCUGAGGCACCACAGUUUCAGACCUUCUGCCAGUUUGCCCAGUAUCGCUGCUCCAAGCGCAAAUUCUAUGUCAAGCGAAUCCCAUGUCCGAGUUUUUUUCCAAAAGGCCUUCUUCAUCCAGAGCAGCAACCUUAUGAUGUAGACUUUUGGGCAAAAGAUGAAAGCUCUCCUACAGAAGCAGUACCAGAGAAGCCAUCUCUUUCUCCUGCCGACCUCCACCUGCACUCCAACGUGGACAUGCUCCUGAAGUACUCCUAUGCACUUUCAAGCCAGAAACCGCUGGUGCGGAAGAUCCCACCAGCCAUGCCAGUGGUGCCCAGACCCCUGCAGGACAGGGGCCGACCUGUACCACCAUCUGCCCUGCCAGUCCCACUCGCCCCUGCCCCCUUGCGAUCCCAUGCCUGGGCAGAGAGCACUUGGGAGCACCGCCUGCAGCGUGGCGUCUGGCAGCUCAUCAGUGCGGCCCUUUCCCUGGAGACCCUGACGGGCACAGACAUCCCUGCCACCACUUCAGAUCUGGGGAGUGUGACCAGUGGUACAAAAGAGAUGAUGCAGGACAUGCCACCCCCUGGCAGUCUUCUUGCCCUGAAGAGGAAGGAAGCAGUGAUGAUCCUGUGCUAUGCAGUGUUGGAGGGAGUCUGUGUCUCCUCAGUUGUCACCCAAGCAUGGAAGGAGUUGGAAGAAAAGAUCCUUGGGUUUGGAGAUUCGGUGUGUGACAGCCUUGGGAGGCAGCAUAUGGACCUAUGCCCUGCCUGUGCUUUCUGCUCACUGAAAAUAGAGCAGUGCCAUAACAUCUACAACCUGAGGCGCAUUCACUGCAAGACAGGCAGCUUCAUCGCAUACAUCAACCCGCAGAUCUCAACCCAGCACCGGGCUGCAGUUAACAAGACCAGCUUCCCAGAACCCUCAGAGUACUUUGGCACACAGCUUUCCAGAGGCCUGCGACCAGAAUACUGGUGCAGCCUGAUAGCCACCCAGGGCUGCGAUGACCCUCGUGUGAUGCUCUGGCUGCAGGCAGAAUAUGCAACCUUCCAAGCAGGGGAUGUCCCAAGCAAGAUCUGUGACUCAGGUGGAGUUCAGCACCCCACUUACUGCGCCUUCAAAAGCCACCAGUGCUUGCAGCACAGCCUCUACAACCAGAGGGGAGGAGCAUCCACAACCUCACUGGGCAGCCUGAUCCAUGCUUGCACAGAAGACCCGAGUCCCUGCAAGACUUCACCUGUCAGUGCUUUUCCUUCCAAAAGGACAGAAUUGGGUGAUUCGCCAUGGCUGCUUCACAAAUCAGACCUACCACGUUCUGAGUGAGGAGGAGGGAAAAGAGGAAGUAAUGCGCUGGCACCAGAGGUUCCUCAGCCUCACUGAAGGAUGAGGUGCAGAGGUUCAUGAGAGCUUGGCUGGAGGACACACCAUGGCUCCUCUCGGGGUUGUCCACAAAGAGAAAAAGCAAUCCCGUAAGAGAGGUUAUCAGAGCAGCCUGAUUACUGGAAACCUGCUGCGGGACACCAACCAUGAGAUGAAGAGUGAGAAACCCUGGGGGGAAUGCCAGAAGGGCUGAGGACUGACUGUGAAACAAAAUGUUGCCUCUCAUCCCCUGGUGAUCCUCUCCCAUGAACCUUGUCCUCUGCCACCCAAUCUCUGCCUCUGGACUCCUUCAUCACCUUCAGGACUGACUCCUCGGAUCUUGCAGUCACAGCCACAUUUCUGCAGCUCCCCACCGCAGCACGCAUGAGUCACAGCAAAGGCAACACCCCUUGAGGAGAUGGCAUGAAUGAAGGCAGCCUCCCACUUGCCUGAAACAAGGUGAAAAAAGGCACAGGCCUGCUGAGCUCUGUACUCGGUUAUGGAGAAGGGGAAGGCACUGGUGGGAUGCGGCAGGAGAGAGAGGUUGUUACUGCAUGCAUGAUGGAUGCAUUCAGAUGGAGAGUGCUUAGGAGAAGUCACCAUCAGGGUGUUCACCCAGUGCCACGGUCCUCAAGGCCUAGAGUCAGAAAGACUGCUCUGCAAGUGCUUUCGGCUCAGCCUGUGGCACCAUCAGGUCCUGGGACCCACGUGCCAUUGAGGAAGAGGAGUAAGCAACGGAAAGGGGAGCUUGGGGGGCUGGGCUGG